ensembl:lncRNA
GAGCAACCUGUGAGCAGUAACAUUUUACCUUAGGCCUAACUCUAAACUAAACCUAAAGUCUGGAUGGAUGAUAGGAAUAAUCUUUAACAAUGAUGUUAAUCCAGGAUCAAAACUGAGGAGACGCAUGACUGACAGCAAACUCACAGCUGUGAAUCGAGCUGAUUCAGAUGGAGGAGAAAGAGUUUUACAGAGUCUGGAGAGAAUGUCUUAUGUCAUCGUGCGUAUAUAAUCCAUCAAAGUACUUUUUGGCCCCUUUAUGGACUGGGGUUGAUUGGUUGAUUAUUGAUUUAGAAUUUGUGUCUUCAUUAGAACGGAUUUGGAGAAAUUUAACAUUACAUUUCUUGUUCACCAAUGGAUCCUCUGCAGUGAAUGGGUGCCGUCAGAAUGAGAUUCCAAACAGCUGAUAAAAACAUCACAAAAAUCCACAAGUAAUUCCAGACCAUCAAUUAAUGUCUUGUGAAGUGAAAAGCUGCAUGUUUGUAAUAAUAAUAAAAAAAUUAUGUUUAAAAUGUUUUUAUCUUCAAGCGGUUGCUUCCAGCUAAUAUAUGAAUCCCCUUCUUGUCUGAAUCAAGAGAAAAAUAUGCACUGAUCAAGUAUACAAGCAAAACAAUCCAAAACAGUUAAUAGUUUUUUUUUUUUUUUUUGGUGAGAGGACAACAGAGGAUGGAUUUUUUUUUUUUUACCGGAGGAAGCAUUUUAUGGAUUAUUUACUCAUAUUUUGGCCAGUGCCGUAAAGUAAAAACAUCUUACUGAUGGAUUUGUUUAUUACAAAGAGCUUUUCACUUCACAGAACGUUAAUUGAUGGACUGGAGUUGUGUAUUGUGUGCAAAAACAACUUUUACACGUGUAAGAUUAAGUCCAUAAAGUGUGGGGAAAGCUGUUUUAUUGCUGAAUUAUAGCACAUUUGCAUUGAGAAAGAAAGAAAGAUGUGACAGUAAUGUUAUAAUCAAAUUAAUACUGUUAUCAUAUAUAAUUUUUAAAAUUAUAUUAAAUAUUAUUUUUAUUUUUAGAAUGUGUUGGUAAAUAAUCACAAUAAAAUAUUUUAAUUAAAUGAUUGCAAUAAUGAUAUGAUAAAAUAAUAAAGCCCUACUUGAUAUACCAAGCACCAAUAGCACUAAAGUUGCAAAGACAAUGUACAUUAAAACUGCAAAACAGAUCAGUG